CUUUUUAAUGCUCCGUUUUUCCACUGUACCGUGAGGAAGGCGGGCUGGCGGCGCUCAGCUGGGCGCUGUGCCCAGAGCCCUGAGGCGCGCCCCGAGCCGUCACACGGCCGUGGGGAAACACGGCCUCCUGCCCCGGCCCGUCCCUGGGUGGCACUGCUACGGAAGGAGACUUGCCACUACACAUUCCUUGGAGAAGAGGGCAGAUCAACAGGCUGUGACCACUGAAGGAUAAAAUCCAAGCCCUGUGCAGGUCAUUAGAGAUUUCAUCAUUGGCCUCAGCUGUGUCAAGAUGACAUGAAACCUGCUCAAAGACCAACAGACCUGAGACAAAAGGAAGAAGCUGUAAAACACAUGCCCCAUCAGUCUGAUUAAUUCACAAACUGAGUUCUUUUAGAACCUUUUUGUAAAAUAUUCUCACCAUUCUUAAUAAACUUACUUAUUCUGGAAAAAAUAUCCCUAGUAAUACAUAACUAAAUAGUUGUACUAUAGUCUCUGAGAUCUAGAUAAGAAAUUUUUAGUUUUCCUCUUUUUUUCCCUGAAUUCUCUCUAUUUCCUGUUGUUUCAUAAAACUUUUUUUGACACUUCAUGAAAUUUUUUAGUAUUUUUUUCCUUCUGCCUUGUGAAUUUGAAAGCUAAAUCUGAUGAACUGUAUUAACUGGGGCAACACAAUAUCAGCAUAUUUCUGAGCAAGUUAAAGCAGGAUUUUCAAAAACAGCCGAGGGAGAAAAUGUUUGGGUCUUUUUUGCUGAGACUUCAAUUUCUAAAUCAUGUGACUUUUCUGACUUGAGAAGAAAGAAACCAGGCACUUUUUGUUGUUACACAGCAGUAGGUUUCCUGAUAGUGUGACUUCCUCUUUGUGAAAUGCAAAACAAAGAGAGUUGAGACAACACAAAGGCUGUUGUCUUUCACAGAGACAGUAUUCCCCAUUUCUGAUCUCAGUCUAAUCAUCUCUAGGGAAUGAAAAAAAUCUGUAUUCAUUAAAGGUAUGUAGUUAGACUGAGUCUGUUCUUUGGUAGUUUCUUCAGAUUCAGUCUCCCUACCAAAUGCCCUGUCCUGAGUGAUUUCCAGACUCACAACCCAUGAAAUAAAUUUUAACUUUUCUACUACUA